UACGUAGGUGGCAAGCGUUGUCCGGAAUUAUUGGGCGUAAAGCGCGCGCAGGUGGUUUCUUAAGUCUGAUGUGAAAGCCCACGGCUCAACCGUGGAGGGUCAUUGGAAACUGGGGAACUUGAGUGCAGGAGAGAAGAGUGGAAUUCCACGUGUAGCGGUGAAAUGCGUAGAGAUGUGGAGGAACACCAGUGGCGAAGGCGACUCUUUGGUCUGUAACUGACGCUGAGGCGCGAAAGCGUGGGGAGCGAUCCGG
rnacentral:rRNA from 1 species